rnacentral:lncRNA from 1 species
CCAGUUGCUUUUUAAAUUCCUUAAUAAUGAUUCUAGAUCCAGUCUAUGGUGGGAUUUUGUGCAUUCAUUCUUUGGCUCCUAAAUAUGUUUUAAUGUUUUUUUACAUGUGCUAAUAGGACAUAUCUGACAUAUCUGACCUUUUUUGAAGACAAGGUUUUUGAUAUAUAGCUCAGACUAGACUGGAACUCACUAUGUACACCAGGCUGGCCUUGAACUUAUAGUGAUUCUCCUGCCUCCCAACAUGACUCUUGGCCUUUUCAUUAACUUUUUAGACAAACAUGUCCCUAGAAUCCAGAUUCCUCCAACACUGCUCCCAUACCAUCAGUUGGGAGCUGUCUCGCAUUAGGAGGUAGCACUUUCUAGGCAGAUUGUGAGCGGACCCUGAUUUACAGCUGAAGGAAGCUGAAGCCAGGGAGGUUUGGUUUACAAGGUAGGCCUGCGAUGUGGGUGAGACGUCCAGACUUGAAGGCACAAGUUUGCCUCUCUGGAUGCCCUUGAUGUCACAUCACACUCAUCUGCUCACCCCUGUCCAAAAAAAUGUCGCCUUUGAGCUGUUUAUUAUUGUGACUUACCAAUAGGGUGGUUCUAUAGUCAGGACAAUAUAAAAUCUUUCUGCAUAUUUGUUUCCUCUAGUUAUUUAAUAGAUUAUUUUAAAUUAUUUAGAAUGAGAACUAACAGCCAGCUCACCCAGUUCUACAAGGAGCCAAAGUAUUUGGAGCAGCAGCAGGCUGUUCCCAGCCGUCUGGACUGUCACACCUGUGUGACCUGAGUUGCUCACACCUCUGCGGCUCUCCCUAUGGUUUGAGGAGGAUCAAAGAUGGCCUGUCCAGGCUUAUGAUCCUACCAUCUGAAACUGUGGCCCAUCAACUUUCUUUUCCAUUGAAGUGUACAGAAUGGGGGGAACUUGGCGCUUUUGCCCACAAAGGGAUCUUUAGAAUGUGUUUCUUAACCUCUUAGGGAAAAAGCAACACGGUUGCUGGUCUGAUUGCUGGAUUUCUUGUAGAGCACAGGCAACUGGCUCACCCCUUCCCCUCCCGCUCCUCUUCUGUAACCCCUUCUUUUUCUCCCUUAGCACUCAUGACUAGUGUACAGCACAAUGCCCCGCGGAAGAG